rnacentral:lncRNA from 1 species
GAUUAGCAAAGUUGCUAAUCCCCGGCAACGGCGCCAAAAUUUGAUGCGAAAAUUACUUGACACACAAAUUAAACCCUCUUUUUGACAAUUGUAGUAUGGAUGUAAGUAGGGUAUCGUUCUAGGCCGGGGAUUAGGAGGGAUUGCUAAUCUAUUCUCAAUUAAUUUAAAAUAUUAAAUAAGACUCAAGGACACAAAGCUAGGCUAAAAACUCUAAUAACUCGAAACACACUUAAAAUGACUCAAAAUAAUGAAAACAAUUAAUUUAAACACUAGGA